rnacentral:ncRNA from 5 species
UCCCUGAGGAGCCCUUUGAGCCUG